GCGCUCACUUCGGCAGUACAUAUACUAAAAUUGGAACAAUACAGAGAAGAUUAGCGUAGCCCCUGAGCACGGAUGACAUGCAAAUUCAUGAAGCGCUCCAUAUUUUU
ensembl:snRNA U6 U6 spliceosomal RNA